CAUGGGUGGCUCAGUGGUUGAGCAUCUGCCUUCGGCUCAGGUCAUGAUCCAGAAGUCUGGGAUCAAGUCCCACAUCGGGCUCCUUGCAGGGAGCUUGCUUCUCUCUCUGCCUAUGUCUCUGCCUCUCUCUGUGUGUUUCUCAUGAAUAAAUAAAUAAAAUCUUUAAAAAAAAAAAGAAUUAUGUCUGGCCUCAAAUGAACUGUUGUGAGGCCAGCGUUUCCUGUGCUCAUUUCCUUCCCUUCCUAGUGUUUGAGAUAUUACCAACUAUUUCAGCCCAAACACUCCUGCACUCUCAUAUGAAAGGUGAAAUGCAAUAAUUAGAUAGAGCUCAUUAAAUCAGUUAAAUGAUUCUGAAGUAGGAACCAGAGAACCAUAAUUUACUAAAAUGUUUGAAGUAUUAGUAUGCAGUGAGAAUAAUAAAAAUAAGAAGUCAAACUUACAAGACCGCUACAAGAAAAAAGGCAAUCGAUCGUAAACACAGAAGCACUGAAGAUGUAUUUAUUGCAUUUUCUCAGCAUACAAAGCAUUGUGCAAAGGUGCACAUGUUUGAGAGGAAUCGAGCUGAUUCAGAUUCUCAGGGAGUGUGCAUGCCCCCAGAGGUUUGUAAGGUUCAGAUUCUCCUAGGCUACUUGGGGGGAAUCAGCAGGCAGGCACUCUUGAAAGCAAUUUUAAGUGACAUCUUUGUGAACCCAAAGCUGUGGGUCUUUGAAACAAGGUACAGUGCUUUUUGCCACCUGGUGGAAGAGCCACAUUCUCCCUGGUUAACAGGAACAGAAUUCACCAGGCACACCCUCUGACAACAAGGCUGCUUCUUGGGCCAUGUUUAAAUCUUUAUGGCCAACUCUGGUCCUCUCGCCGAUUAACACCCUGAAGGUGUCCGAGCACCUGCUCAGUUCUCGGGCUAUAUAACUCGUGAGAUGAAAGGGGAGAAUGUUUGCUGACCAUGUAUUUUUUGAAAUCCACAAACCUUUAGCAUGCUUUGCCAGCCCAUCACUUCUCCACCUUCCUGCUCUGCCUUCCCAAACAGAGGAAGUAUCAAAGCCUUUCCUUCUCUUUGUCUAACUCACCCCUAGGGACUCAUUUACGUGUUGUCUUCUUAAAAAUCUCAUGCUGGGGAUUCCUGGGUGCCUCAGUCCAUUAGGUGUCUGAUUCUUGAUUUUGGCUCAAGUCAUGAUCUGAGGGUUAUGAGACUGAACCCCGAGGUGGGCUCCACACUGGGCAUGGAGUGCUUGAUAUUCCCUCUCCCUCUCCCUCUGCUUCUUCCCCAUUCCCCUCCUUCUCUAAAGAAAACAACAACAACAACCUCAUGCUGAAUCAUCUCAGACUGGGUUAGUGAAGGCCAGUGAAUAUGCCACCCUAAAAUAUGCUGCUUUGGUAUAUUAUUUUGCGCUCUAGGUCCUUGAAAGGCAGCAGAUAUAGGAAGAGGCUUUCUCUGAACUGCCCUUACCUGCCUGGAAAAAGUUCAAUGGGCAUUAGAUCACCUCCCUGGGAGUGUCUCCAACCAGGGAAGAUUGUGUCUUAACCACUGCAGAGACUAGCAGUCAACACCACACCCAGCCAAACUUUGUCACAAACUAUCACACCUUCUCAUGACACCACCUCAUACGUUUAAAGGGCCCAUUCAUCUCUCCUAAAAAUUAUUUACAGUCCCUGGAGGGGCCUACAUGCCCCACCCUUUCCCUAUUAAUAUGGUAUUUAAGCCUGAGUUCUAAGCCACUUCUUUGAGUGACUCAUUUUUAUCUGGGUAUCUCCUAUGUAUACAUGAGGUACAUAUGUUAAUAGAUUCUGCUUGAUUUUCUCCUAUUAAUCUUUCAUUACAGGAGUCUCUGCUAAAAACUCAGAAAAACAGAGGCAAAUUGUAUUUCCUCCCCGACAUUAAUCUUUCCUAUAUUUUCCUCUACUUUCAUAAUACAGUUUGCGUGGUCACUGUUGAAUGUCUUAAGUCUUCCACAAGUAUAGACUAGACUGUGUUUGUCUAGUUCAUUUUGCACACCCAGCAUGUGUGUGGCCCCAUGGGAAGCCUACUAAAUAGAUGUACAAUGAAGGAAUGUAUCCUAGAAAUGUUUGAACCUAAUUCACACCCUCUUUGAGAGCUUCCUGGGGCUCUAUGCUGUAAUUCUUGCUAUUGGUUUGAUAUUUGCUUAUGAGCUCUCUUAGUUUGAGUUCCUCUGAAGCAGAAUCUGAGUCAAGAUUUUUGGUGCAGGGAGCUAAUUUGGGAGAUUUCCAGGAAGCAAGAGAGACGGGAAGGGGAAGAAAGGAAAGGGGAAAAAAAAAAAAAAA
rnacentral:lncRNA from 1 species